rnacentral:rRNA from 1 species
CUACGGGCCGCACCAGUGGGGAAUAUUGCACAAUGGGCGCAAGCCUGAUGCAGCAACGCCGCGUGAGGGAUGAAGGCCUUCGGGUUGUAAACCUCUUUUAGCAGGGAAGAAGCGAAAGUGACGGUACCUGCAGAAAAAGCACCGGCUAACUACGUGCCAGCAGCCGCGGUAAUACGUAGGGUGCAAGCGUUGUCCGGAAUUAUUGGGCGUAAAGAGCUCGUAGGCGGUUUGUCACGUCUGCUGUGAAAAUCCAAGGCUCAACCUUGGACUUGCAGUGGGUACGGGCAGGCUAGAGUGCGGUAGGGGAGAUGGGAAUUCCUGGUGUAGCGGUGGAAUGCGCAGAUAUCAGGAGGAACACCAAUGGCGAAGGCACUUCUCUGGGCCGUAACUGACGCUGAGGAGCGAAAGCGUGGGGAGCGAACAGGAUUAGAUACCCUCGUAGUC